UACGUAGGGAGCUAGCGUUGUUCGGAAUCACUGGGCGUAAAGCGUACGUAGGCGGCCCGCUAAGUCGAACGUGAAAUCCCCGGGCUCAACCCGGGAACUGCGUCCGAUACUGGCAGGCUUGAAUCCGGGAGAGGGAUGCGGAAUUCCAGGUGUAGCGGUGAAAUGCGUAGAUAUCUGGAGGAACACCGGUGGCGAAGGCGGCAUCCUGGACCGGCAUUGACGCUGAGGCGCGAAAGCCAGGGGAGCAAACGGG
rnacentral:rRNA from 1 species